rnacentral:rRNA from 1 species
CCCUUAGAUGUUCUGGGCUGCACGCGCGCUACAAUGUCAUGAAAACCGGGAUGCUUUAACGAAAUUUAUUGCGAAACCCCAACUCAUGACGCGACUGGGAUUGACGUUUUUAAUUAUUCGUCAUGAACGAGGAAUUCCUAGUAAACGCGAAUCAUCAGUUCGUGUUGAUUAUGUCCCUGCCCUUUGUACACACCGCCCGUCGCUCCUACCGAUUGAGCGUUUUGGUGAGCACUCUGGAGUGCAGCAAUGCAUAAAUGAAUGCAAACCUGAGUGUUUAGAGGAAGGAUAAGUCGUAACA